UACGUAGGGGGCAAGCGUUGUCCGGAUUUAUUGGGCGUAAAGAGCGUGUAGGCGGCCAGGUAGGUCCGUUGUGAAAACUCGAGGCUCAACCUCGAGACGUCGAUGGAAACCAUCUGGCUAGAGUCCGGAAGAGGAGAGUGGAACUCCGAGUGUAGAGGUGAAAUUCGUAGAUAUUCGGAAGAACACCAGUGGCGAAGGCGGCUCACUGGUCCGGUACUGACGCUGAGGUGCGAAAGCGUGGGGAGCAAACAGG
rnacentral:rRNA from 1 species